AACUUUCAACAACGGAUCUCUUGGCUCUCGCAUCGAUGAAGAACGCAGCGAAAUGCGAUAAGUAAUGUGAAUUGCAGAUUUUCAGUGAAUCAUCGAAUCUUUGAACGCACCUUGCGCUCCUUGGUAUUCCGAGGAGCAUGCCUGUUUGAGUGUC
rnacentral:rRNA from 3 species